rnacentral:rRNA from 1 species
ACUCCUACGGGAGGCAGCAGUGGGGAAUAUUGGACAAUGGGGGCAACCCUGAUCCAGCGAUGCCGCGUGUGUGAAGAAGGCCUGAGGGUUGUAAAGCACUUUUAGUGGGGAGGAAAGUUAACAGGUUAAGAGCUAGUUAAGUUGACGUUACCCACCAUAAACAGCACCGGCUAACUCCGUGCCAGCAGCCGCGGUAAUACGUAGGGGGCAAGCGUUAUCCGGAUUUACUGGGUGUAAAGGGAGCGUAGGUGGUAUGAUAAGUCAGAUGUGAAAGCCCAGGGUUUAACCCUGGGACUGCAUUUGAAACUGUCAAACUAGAGUGCAGGAGAGGUAAGUGGAAUUCCUAGUGUAGCGGUGAAAUGCGUAGAUAUUAGGAGGAACACCAGUGGCGAAGGCGACUUACUGGACUGUAACUGACACUGAGGCUCGAAAGCGUGGGGAGCAAACAGGAUU